GCACCGCUGAUUUGAUGUGUAUCCUCUGCCUUUAAUUUCCUGGAAACCUCAUGUAUUUAAAGUGAUACUUAAUAGCAUUGCAGUUAAUCGAAGCUUUGUUUCUCUUGGUUGGCAGAAAAAGGAAAUAACUUGAUAGUGACUUGUGAAAAUCCCAACUUCCGUUUGAGCUCCGGGAUGCUGCCGACUUGGGAGUGCUUCAGCUUCCAUGUGUGGUGGCACUGCCUCAGUUUUCAGAACGGCAAGUUGGAGGCAGUGCGUGGUUUUCAGUUAGCUUUGAAAGGAGAAAAUACUAUUAAACUGUUCUGUAGAGAGAAAAGUAAACAGCUUCAAGUGGUUUUCAACAGUAGUUUAAGGGUUAGCCCUCUGUAAAUCAGAAAUUCUGUUGAAAGACCACUACAUUUGGUAAUCAUUUCUACAAAUCAAGUUUGUUUUAUUUAAUUAUGUACUUGAGUUCUCAUAUGGUAGACUUUUAUGCCAUCCUAAAAUGUUGAAACCUUGAAAAAUUAUGGUAAAUUUUAUGUUGUGUGAGAAAAUUAUUGGGGGAAAAUUAUGAAAUGUACAUAACUUAUUAGAAACUAAUUUUCCAUAUUAGAGUUUGAAAAAUAACUACUGCCAUUUGGGCACAGAUGAAGUCAAAUAUAAAACAUAAAAACUUAGUAGUGCUUUCAUGUUUGUCUCUGAGGAAUUGUCUGUAGACCACAUUCUUUUCCUUUAAUGCCGUUUGUCUUGCUAAGGGACCAACCCAUGCUUGGUUGCCUAAGUUCAGUGGCUGUCAGGUGAUUAUUCAGAGUUAGGAGUGUAGUGUGGUCCUGGGGACUGUUCUUUGGGGAUAGAGUCUUCCACUUCAGGUGUACUGGUAUUUAGGCUUGCAGACAUAAUUUUUGAAAUCUGAUUUUCAUUGGUAGGUUGUGAGAUACAGAGGUAGGUGUUAUUUGUGGGGCUGUGGUGGGCAGUAGAUAACAAUUCUUGUAUUCUUUAUUUUUAAGAUGUGCAAUUAGGGCCUGCAAAAGAUGAAUCUUAGCAUUUUGGUUUCUUUUGCGGAAUUUCCCCCAUUUCACAUAAGAAUAUGGUCACUUGAGUGUUUCUUGGUUUUCAUUUUGUCUAAAACUUUACUCCUGUUGAAAGCUGGUUCUCUUGCAUUGUUAGCACCCUUUUUUUACUAACUUUUUAGUAUCUAGCAUGCUUUGUAUAGUAUAAUAUAAAUACUGUGUGGUGUAAUAUUUGUUAAAUGAAGAAGUGUCUUUUGUAUUUAUCUUAACAUUUUUGUACAUGAUAAUACUUUUUUACUUCUGUCUAGAGUACUGUGGAUAGGAAGGUUUGUUCUAGUUCUAGCUCUCUCUAAUAAUUCUGGCAUCCUUCACUGUUUCGUUUCUCCCAACUCAAGUUUACUGUGUUUUAACAGUAAAGAAAUUAGGUACAGUUUGUAUCCCAUCUGCUCAGGAGAGGUAUGUAGCUAAAAGAAGACAAUAGAAUAGGAUCUUUUCUGUAAACGUUUAUGUGACAUCGUCACCUAAGAAUUUUUCAUAUUUAACUUGGUAUAGAUUUUUAUUUCUUCUUUGGUCUUUUAGUUUUUGCUAGAGUCUCCAGAAACAUUUUCAGGCUAAAUUUGGAGUGGAUUUCCAAAAUCUAGAAAUUUUUUUCUCCUAGUGAUAAAACUUGCUUUCACUUAGGUUGUUCAAACUUUUUUUAUUUUUUUUUUAAUUGCUACCUAUGGAGUAUUUUUCUAACUUGGACAAGAAAAAUACAUGAAUUUUUUAAAAAUUCAUAGAUGGAUAUAUUUUCUUCAAAUACUAGAGAGUUUUUGAACUGGAAGAAGUCCUGGAGAACUUGUAGUCCAGUGCCACACAGUGAAGACUGACUUUUCAUUGCAGCUUUCUGCAGUGAGAGGAAGGCCUGUGUCUGUGUCAUUUAGCAUCGUGCCUCACAGAGGCUCGCCUUUCACCUUGUAGAGCUGUGGCUUUCAUGUCUAGAGUGUGCCAUCAUGCUGCAUAUGUAGGAAGAAUGGGACUUGUUUUCAAAUGCACUGUUACGUAUUUAUGUGUGUACAAGCCAGUCAAAGCAGGGCCCUUUACCCUGCUUAUCCUGUACCUCUGAAUAACUUUUCUCCCAUUAGAACCUCUUUGGAACCCAAAGACAUUGGCUGUGUGUAAUUUCAUUGCUUUUUUGCUGGGAAACUCAAGGCUCAGACAUUAAGUUGCUUGGGUCCUUUUAAUUGACAGGGCCUAUACUUUCUGUAAAGUCCUUUUCAUUGUGAGGAUUUGAUACUUACAGAAAUAGUCGGUUUCAAUAAAUUGGUCAUUUAGUAUAGAGAACCUCGUUGGUCUCUCGUUGUACCCUGGAGAGAAACAGUGGCGGGUAUGAGAAAAAUAAAGACAAGAGACAAAAUCUGGGUCAGGUAGAUGCCACCCCACCCCUUACCUGAUCAGCAAGAGGACCUAACUUCAACAUUUAUUUUAUACUUUUGCAAAGUUAGUAUCUUGAGAGGUAAUGUUGCCUAGUGACUAACAAUUAUAAUUGUCCAGGCAAGAUGUCUUUCUCAAGAUUGAGGUAUCUUGACUACUUGAGGCACUCUGGCUCUGUCCUCCCUUCACACAUAGGACCAAUUUCCAGUUCCAGCGGCUUCCAACAAUUUGGAGUACCAGUUGAUCCCAAAGAUAAAGAUGAAAAAACAAGAUUCUUAAGUCACUGUUCAACUCUGUGUCUCAGAAUCCCUGUAGAGUUUUGUUUUAGAAAUACAGGUUCUGUGUGGCCACCUCUAACUUUUGGAGAUUUACUGAGUGUGUUAUGCUGUCCUGUAUUGCAGGGCUGCUGUGCAUACUCUGAGUGGUUAUUCCAAAACAGCCAGAAUGAAAACCACAUAUUUGAUCACCAGUUUUUCAACCAUGUAAUUACAGCUUGGUAGAGUAAUGCAGUGACAAACCAGGGAUUUAAUAUCUUUAUUAUAUAAUGAACAAGGUAGGCUUGUUCAUGUUCUUAAAGCUGCUUUACUGGCUUAAAAAUACAGUGGCUGAAACUAAUAUGUUAUAUCUUAAUGUUGGGUUUUUACAAAUGCAGCAAACAUCUUAUUUCAGACUCCCAAGACUUUGAAUUCACAGAAUGAUCAACAGGGCUAACGUUUCCCUUGAGCCGGUCUGUGGGGUGUUUCAGCCGCUUUCCCACUGCUGGGACACAAUAUCCAGUGCUUGUCUCCUACAGGAGGCAAGGUUCAUUUGGCGCAGUUUCUCUUUGUGGUGCACUGGUUCCAAGCCGGUAACAGGAUGGCAGAGGUAGAGGGAAUGCUGCUCAGUCCAUCACAGCCAUGAAGCCGAGAUGAGAGAAGGCAGGUCAAGCGCAGCCCUCCAGGUCACACCCCAGCGGCCAGCCCCAGCCAGGCUGCAGCUCCAACCCGUGCACUCUGAUGAACUCAUCCCUGGGAUCCCUCAAACUGCCCUUGGAGAGUCCAGCACAUUGCUCCUCUGGCAACCACACUUCUCUUCUCCAUUGCUGAUUCCAUUUCAAGAAUGUGCAAAGCUGGGCUGGGGAUUUAGCUCAGCAGCAAAAAGCGCCUGCCUGGCAAGCGCAAGGUCGUGAGUUCGGUUCCCGGUACUGGAGAAAAACCAAAAAAAAAAAAAAAAAAAGAAUGUGCAAAGCUUUUCUAAUGGUGAUCAGCGCUGAAGAUGGAACUCAGUGUUGGAGUGCUUGUCUAGCAUGCAGAGGCCCAAAUUCAAACCAG